rnacentral:lncRNA from 1 species
CUGGGGGCGGGGCCAAGGGGCCGCGUGCGCCGGAGACUCCCCCCGCCCCGCAGCCGGGAAACGUCCAGAACCCCGAAAUGUGGAGAAAACAACCUUCUUUUCACGGGGGCGUGGCCCGCCGGUUGCAGUACGCGAAAUUGGCAAAAUGAUGUAAACAGGGAUGGUCGUCACACCUGAACAAGGGGGUCCCUGGCCCCAGGCCCCAUGCUUUACUGGGCCCUGUUCUGUCCCUCUUCUGGCAUCAUCUCCCAUGGAGAAAAGAAUGUGUUGAAGCCAAGAAGAUGCUCCCCCCGCAAGAAUAUCAUCUCUGCUAGAACAGGGGCUGGAGUGUAACGGCAUGAUCUCGGCUCACUGCACCCUCGACUUCCUGGAUUCAGGUGAUCCCCUCACCUCAGCCUCCCUAGUAGCUGGUGUGUCCGGAAUUGGUGGGUUCUUGGUCUCACUGACUUCAAGAAUGAAGCCGUGGACCCUCGCG